rnacentral:rRNA from 1 species
UACGUAGGGUGCAAGCGUUAAUCGGAAUUACUGGGCGUAAAGCGUGCGCAGGCGGUUGUGCAAGACCGAUGUGAAAUCCCCGGGCUCAACCUGGGAAUGGCAUUGGUGACUGCACGGCUAGAGUGUGUCAGAGGGGGGUAGAAUUCCACGUGUAGCAGUGAAAUGCGUAGAGAUGUGGAGGAAUACCGAUGGCGAAGGCAGCCUCCUGGGAUAACACUGACGCUCAUGCACGAAAGCGUGGGGAGCAAACAGG